rnacentral:rRNA from 1 species
AUUGAACGCUGGCGGCAUGCUUUACACAUGCAAGUCGAACGGUAACAGGCCUUCGGGUGCUGACGAGUGGCGGACGGGGGCGUAAUGCAUCGGAACGUACCCAGAGGUGGGGGAUAACGCAGCGAAAGCUGUGCUAAUACAGCAUGUGAUCUGAGGAUGAAAGCGGGGGACCGAGCAGCAAUGUUUGGCCUCGCGCCUUUGGAGCGGCCGAUGUCGGAUUAGCUAGUUGGCGGGGUAAAGGCCUACCAAGGCGACGAUCCGUAGCUGGUCUGAGAGGACGACCAGCCACACUGGGACUGAGACACGGCCCAGACUCCUACGGGAGGCAGCAGUGGGGAAUUUUGGACAAUGGGCGCAAGCCUGAUCCAGCAAUGCCGCGUGCGGGAAGAAGGCCUUCGGGUUGUAAACCGCUUUUGGCAGGAACGAAACGGUGUCCGCUAAUACCGGGCGCUAAUGACGGUACCUGCAGAAUAAGCACCGGCUAACUACGUG